rnacentral:rRNA from 1 species
UACGUAGGGGGCAGGCGUUGUCCGGAAUUAUUGGGCGUAAAGAGCGUGUAGGCGGUCCGGUAAGUCAGCUGUGAAAGUCAAGGGCUCAACCCUUGAAUGCCGGUUGAUACUGUCGGGCUCGAAUCCGGAAGAGGUGAGUGGAAUUCCUGGUGUAGCGGUGAAAUGCGCAGAUAUCAGGAGGAACACCAAUGGCGAAGGCAGCUCACUGGGACGGUAUUGACGCUGAGACGCGAAAGCGUGGGGAGCAAACAGG